UACAGAGGGGGCGAGCGUUGUUCGGAAUUACUGGGCGUAAAGGGCGCGUAGGCGGCCUCUUAAGUCGAACGUGAAAUCCCCGGGCUCAACCCGGGAACUGCGUCCGAGACUGGAAGGCUUGAAUCCGGGAGAGGGAUGUGGAAUUCCAGGUGUAGCGGUGAAAUGCGUAGAUAUCUGGAGGAACAUCGGUGGCGAAGGCGGCAUCCUGGACCGGUAUUGACGCUGAGGCGCGAAAGCCAGGGGAGCAAACGGG
rnacentral:rRNA from 1 species